UGGGGAAUAUUGGCACAAUGGGCGAAAGCCUGAUGCAGCAACGCCGCGUGCGGGAUGACGGCCUUCGGGUUGUAAACCGCUUUCAGCAGGGACGAAGGUUUUUCUGACGGUACCUGCAGAAGAAGCACCGGCUAACUACGUGCCAGCAGCCGCGGUGAUACGUAUGGGUGCGAGCGUUGUCCGGAAUUAUUGGGCGUAAAGAGCUUGUAGGCGGUCCGUUGCGUCGGAAGUGAAAACUCAGGGCUUAACCCUGAGCCUGCUUUCGAUACGGGCGGACUUGAGGGAUGUAGGGGAGAACGGAAUUCCUGGUGGAGCGGUGGAAUGCGCAGAUAUCAGGAGGAACACCAGUGGCGAAGGCGGUCCUCUGGACAUUUCCUGACGCUGAGAAGCGAAAGCGUGGGGAGCAAACAGGCUUAGAUACCCUGGUAGUCCACGCCGUAAACGGUGGGCACUAGGUGUGGGACCCAUUCCACGGGUUCCGUGCCGUAGCUAACGCAUUAAGUGCCCCGCCUGGGGAGUACGGCCGCAAGGCUAAAACCUCAAAGGAAUUGACGGGGUCAUAGCUGUUU
rnacentral:rRNA from 1 species